GGCAACUGCUGUGGUUGCAAACAGGCUUUGGGUGGUAUGGAAAUAAAUGCAGAGUUUAAGUGCAUUACCACCAUGCCACUGCAGUCCAGAUUACUCUCGCAGAUAGAUGUGCUAUCUGAAAAACUAAUAAAGGUCUUCAAAAGGUGAGGAGGACAAAUAGGAAGAAGACUUCAGAACAUUCUGGAGCCCACGGCCCAGGCCACAGAUGAAGCCAUUAUCCAACGAUCUAAUAAGGAAACAACCAUGGGAAUUUACAUCAUAAAGACAAGAGAUGCCAAUGGCAGCCCUGAGGACAUCGGGAUAGUCCUUGAAGGCCAGAGAGUCUGGCAGGAUUUGGAUAACUAUACCCUAGCAGCUGCAAUGCUGUUUGGACUAAUGUACACUUUGAACCUCAC
ensembl:lncRNA